CAGGUGGUUCUCUGAUUUAAUUGUUUGAAAGCAGUCACUGGAAGCAAAGCUAUGUGACUCAGCUUUGGUGAUGUACUCCAGCUGGAGUCUGACAGGUAAAUAAUUACCACUAAUCAAAGCCUAGAUGAAUUCAGUUUCUUCAAAGUCAGAUGGGUGAGAAGGGGACAGGGAUUAUUAAUGAACUGUUAGGAAUAUCGGGAGAAAUAAGAGCAGGACAGUCUAGUCUCAGAUGAAAACAACAAAGAGAACAAUUAACAUCAGUAAGACCUCGGGUGCCAUGUGUAUUACAGCACAAAGAUCUUUGGCUGGGCUCCGCUAUUCCCCAUUCAGGCAUAAUUAGUUUGGGUAUCUUAGGAGCCUCUCUGGGUCUACAAAACUCAGUUGGAUGAUGAGCUAGGUCCUUUUCGGUUCUCACAGGGUAUAAUUGCAUGAUUUCCUUAAGCAGAAUUCAGAUUUCUUGACAUCAAGGGGGAAAAUCUCUUUCUCUU
rnacentral:lncRNA from 1 species